rnacentral:tRNA from 1 species
GGGCCCAUGGUCCAGCGGUUAAGACGUCUCCUUGACGUGGAGAAGAUCAGGGGUUCGAAUCCUCUUGGGCCCA